AUGUGCUCGCGGCGGCAGGCUGCUCCCUGUCCUCGCCGCGCUGUUCGUGGCGCUGCUUCUCCUCUCCGGCUCCACGGCGGAAGGGGAGGACGAGGAGGGCUCGCCGGGGCGCCGGAGGAUCCGGAGGCGCCGAUGGAGGCCAAGGAGAAGGCGGCCCUGUACGCCGCCAUCGGGAGCUUCGUGGGCAAGGCGUGGAACGGCUCCGGCCUCUUCUCUGACCCCUGCAGCCAGACUCCCAUCCAGUGAAAUAAUUGCUUCUUGGAUCCAAUUUUUUGGUUUCCUGCAGGGGGUGUCAUCGGUCCAGUGCUCGACAACUCGCUGCAGUGCGCCCCGGACGCCAGGUUCAGCCCCAAGUUGUUCGGCCUCCGGUGCCUCAAGAGCCUCACCUUCUACGCCUGCUUCCCGGCGGCCAACUCCACGGCCAUCCCGGUGACAAACUGGGACAAGCUCUCCGGCACCCUCGAGACGCUCGAGUUCCACUCAAACCCGGGCCUGGCCGGCGCCAUCCCGGCGUCCCUCGGCCGCCUGGCCAGCCUGCAGUCCCUGGUCCUCAUCGACGACAACCUCACCGGCGCCCUGGAGCUUGGCGGGCUGGCGAAGCUGCGGCGGCUCGUGCUGUCCGGGAACGGGCUGUCGGGCCCCGUGUCGGCCACGCUCGGUAACCCCCGCCGCCUCGACGAGCUGCUGGCCAUGGACAUGAGCAAGAACUCUCUAACCGGGUCUCUGCCUCCGUCGCUAGGUGGGCUCAAGGGGCUGCUUAAGAUGGACCUCGGCAAUAACCGCCUCGACGGGCGCAUCCCGCCGGAGCUCGCCGGCCUGGAGAGCCUCACGUUGCUCGACCUCCGGAACAACAACCUCACCGGCGGGCUGCCGGAGUUCGUGCUGGGCAUGGCGGCCCUGCAGGACCUGCUGCUCUCGAGCAACCCGCUGCUGGGAGGAACCCUGAUGCGGCACGAGAAGAUGGCGAGCCUGGCCACGCUGGACCUGUUCAACGUCCUCGCAGGCACCAUCCCGGAGUCCAUGGUGGCGAUGCCCAGGUUGCGGUUCCUCUUGCUAGACCACAACCGCCUCUCCGGCACCGUGCCGGCCAAGCUCGUAGCGUUGCCGGCGACAUGA
rnacentral:rRNA from 1 species